rnacentral:ncRNA from 1 species
GGAAUGGCUGCGGGUAUCCAUGUUCGUGGAUUUAACGUCCUUGAAACGAUGCAGGUUCAGUAGAACACUCGCUCAUCAAUCAUGGCGUUAGAAAAGCAACAUGGAUUGAGAUUAUACCGCUUGAACCUGAUCAGCGCUCAUACCUGCGUAGGGAAGCCCCCAGUGUCGCUU